GUGAUGGAGGCAACAUUGAAAGAGUUGGGAGGCCGGGAAGGACCCUGGACUCACACAUGUCUGAAGCCCCUGCCUAGCUGAACUCUGGUUACUGCCACCCUCUGCAGGCACCUGGAAUGACAGAUGCCUGGGCAAUUAGCCUGUGCCCAGGGACUCAAGAUGCCUAUCAAGAGGUCUGCAGACUCCUGCACUGUGGAUGUUACCGGAGAAAAUUUGGGAGAAGAUUUAGGAAGUAAUGAAGACAAAGAAAGCAAUUCUACAUUUUAUUGAGAUACUUGUAAAAGUCCUCUGUUUUCCUUAACCGGAAUCCUUCUAAUAAACGCAUCUCUGGA